rfam:Felis catus isolate Cinnamon breed Abyssinian chromosome D4, whole genome shotgun sequence.
ACCUGACUGGCUCAGUCAGCAGAGCAUGUGACUCUUGAUCUCGGGGCUGUGGGUUCAAGCCCCGUAUUGGGUG